UACGUAGGGUGCGAGCGUUAUCCGGAAUUACUGGGCGUAAAGCGCACGCAGGCGGUUUCUUAAGUUUGACGUGAAAACUCCUGGCUUAACUGGGAGAGGUCGUUGAAGACUGGGGAACUUGAGGCAAUGAGAGGGAUGUAGAAUUCACGGUGUAGUGGUGGAAUGCGUAGAUAUCGUGAGGAAUACCAGUGGCGAAAGCGAUAUCCUGGCAUUAGCCUGACGCUCAUGUGCGAAAGCGUGGGGAGCGAACGGG
rnacentral:rRNA from 1 species